UAGGGCGACAGCAAAAUAUCAGAUACCCAGACAGGCCACGAAAAGACAUUAACCGGACUGAUUCCCGCAUUGGCAGGUGCCAAUAUGAUAUACGGUCUGG
rfam:Desulfobacterium vacuolatum DSM 3385 genome assembly, contig: Ga0002809_118